AGGAUGAACGCUGGCGGCGUGCCUAACACAUGCAAGUCGAACGUUAGGAGAUAGCAAUAUCUCCAAAAGUGGCGAACGGGUGAGUAACACGUGGGUAACCUGCCGCGCAGAGGGGGAUAACGACUGGAAACGGUCGCUAAUACCGCAUGGUACCAAGAGGAAUGGUCUCCUUUUGGUUAAAACUUUGGUGCUGCGCGAGGGGCCUGCGCCCGAUUAGCUAGUUGGUGAGGUAAAGGCUCACCAAGGCGAUGAUCGGUAGCUAGUCUGAGAGGAUGAUUAGCCACACGGGAACUGAGACACGGUCCCGACUCCUACGGGGGCAGCAGUGAGGAAUAUUGCACAAUGGACGAAAGUCUGAUGCAGCAACGCCGCGUGGAGGAUGACGGCCCUUGGUUGUAAACUCCUUUUUUCAGGGAGAGAAUGGACGGUACCUGAAGAAUAAGUCACGGCUAACUACGUGCCAGCAGCCGC
rnacentral:rRNA from 1 species